UGCCGGUGAUAAACCGGAGGAAGGUGGGGAUGACGUCAAGUCAUCAUGGCCCUUACGAGUAGGGCUACACACGUGCUACAAUGGCGUAUACAAAGAGAAGCGACCUCGCGAGAGCAAGCGGAACUCAUAAAGUACGUCGUAGUCCGGAUUGGAGUCUGCAACUCGACUCCAUGAAGUCGGAAUCGCUAGUAAUCGUAGAUCAGAAUGCUACGGUGAAUACGUUCCCGGGCCUUGUACACACCGCCCGUCACACCAUGGGAGUGGGUUGCAAAAGAAGUAGGUAGCUUAACCUUCGGGAGGGCGCUUACCACUUUGUGAUUCAUGACUGGGGUGAAGUCGUAACAAGGUAACCGUAGGGGAACCUGCGGUUGGAUC
rnacentral:rRNA from 1 species